UGUUCUAUGGCUUAGUUAAUUAAAGCGCCGGUCUAGCGAAUACGGAGUCGUGGGUUCAAAUCCCACCAGAAUGC
rfam:Aedes albopictus isolate Foshan contig67043, whole genome shotgun sequence.